GACCAGACUCCUACGGGAGGCAGCAGUGGGGGAUAUUGCACAAUGGGGGGAACCCUGAUGCAGCGACGCCGCGUGGGUGAAGGAGUGCUUCGGCAUGUAAAGCCCUAUCGGCAGGGAAGAAGCAAGACGGUACCUGACUAAGAAGCCCCGGCUAACUACGUGCCAGCAGCCGCGGUAAUACGUAGGGGGCAAGCGUUAUCCGGAUUCACUGGGUGUAAAGGGAGCGUAGACGGCGACGCAAGUCUGGAGUGAAAGCCCGGGGCCCAACCCCGGGACUGCUCUGGAAACUGCGUCGCUGGAGUACGGGAGGGGCAGGCGGAAUUCCUGGUGUAGCGGUGAAAUGCGUAGAUAUCAGGAGGAACACCGGCGGCGAAGGCGGCCUGCCGGACCGUGACUGACGUUGAGGCUCGAGGGCGUGGGGAGCAAACAGGAUUAGAUACCCUAGUAA
rnacentral:rRNA from 1 species